GAAUGGUUGGACGAAAUAUAUACUGUUUCAUUUAAAAUUUAAAUAGAAUUUUAUUUUUUAGUUAAAAAGCUAAAAUAUAGUCAAAAGACGAGAAGACCCUAUAAAUCUUAAUUGUGUAUAAAUUUUUAAUUUGGGUUGAUUUUUUUAAGUAUAAAUUUAUAUAUAAUUUCAUUGGGGUGAUGUUAAAAUUUAAUUAACUUUUAAUAAUUUUAUUCAUUUAUUUAUGAUUAAGUGAUCCAUUAUUAGUGAUUAUAAAUUUAAGUUACUUUAGGGAUAACAGCGUAAUUUUUUUGGAGAGUUCUUAUCGAUAAAAAAGUUUGCGACCUCGAUGUUGGAUUAAGAUUCAUAUUUAAAUGUAGAAGUUUAAAUAUUAAGUCUGUUCGACUUUUUAUUCUUACAUGAUCUGAGUUCAAACCGGUGUAAGCCAGGUUGGUUUCUAUCUUUGAUUUAAUAAAAUAUUUUAGUACGAAAGGAAUUAGUAUUUAUUUUUUAGAAAUUUAAUUAAUGAAUAAAUUUAAUUACUAU
rnacentral:rRNA from 1 species